rnacentral:rRNA from 1 species
CCUACGGGUGGCAGCAGUGAGGAAUAUUGGUCAAUGGGCGCGAGACUGAACCAGCCAAGUAGCGUGAAGGAUGACUGCCCUACGGGUUGUAAACUUCUUUUAUGAAGGAAUAAAGUGAGGCACGUGUGCCGUUUGGAUGUACUUUAUGAAUAAGGAUCGGCUAACUCCGUGCCAGCAGCCGCGGUAAUACGGAGGAUCCGAGCGUUAUCCGGAUUUAUUGGGUUUAAAGGGAGCGUAGGUGGGUUGUUAAGUCAGUUGUGAAAGUUUGCGGCUCAACCGUAAAAUUGCAAUUGAUACUGGCAGCCUUGAGUACAGUUGAGGUAGGCGGAAUUCGUGGUGUAGCGGUGAAAUGCUUAGAUAUCACGAAGAACUCCGAUUGCGAAGGCAGCCUACUAAACUGCCACUGACAUUGAUGCUCGAAAGUGCGGGUAUCAAACAGGAUUAGAUACCCCUGUAGUC